AUGGACACUAGCCUUUUCUGGAUGAUCAUCUGGCUCUUGGGAUUAGGUCCCACAAAUGCCAGCGUCACCCAGAAUCCACCACACCUAAUCAGGAGGUCAGGACAGGAGGCCACCUUGAGAUGCAACCCCGAGGAAGGACACAUUUAUGUGUACUGGUAUCAGCAGCUGUCAGAGGGAAGUCUGAAGUUUAUGGCUUACUUCCGGAGAGAAACACCCCUGGAUGAAUCUGGAAUGCCAUCCAAACGCUUUUCUGCUGAAUUUCCCAAAGAAGGCCCCAGCACCCUCAAGAUCGAGCCUACAGAGCUGGAGGAUUCUGCAGCAUAUCUCUGUGCCAGUUCCUUAGACACACCAGUGCAGAACCACAUCCUGCCAAGGCACAAACCCCCAUAG